rnacentral:rRNA from 1 species
AAACUUGAGCUAAUACCGGAUACGCCCUUAGGGGGAAAGAUUWUUGCCGAAGGAUUGGCCCGCGUCCGAUUAGCUAGUUGGUGAGGUAAUGGYUCACCAAGGCGACGAUCGGUAGYUGKUCUGAGAGGAUGAUCAGCCACACUGGGACUGAGACACGSCCCAGAYUCCUACGGGAGGCAGCAGUGGGGAAUAUUGGACAAUGGGCGCAAGCCUGAUCCAGCCAUSCCGCGUGAGUGAUGAAGGCCCUAGGGUUGUAAAGCUYUUUCGCCAGGGACGAUAAUSMCCGUACCUGGAUAAGMAGCCCCGGCUAACUUC